GGACAGCCCCAGGUCCUGCGAAGGCGCGGCCGCCCGUCUGUCCAGCCCGGGAGCCCUGGCUUCUUUCCUGGUCCGAGGAAACGUGAACCAAAGAUGGUUCGGCUAAAUAGACCACCUCCAGUCGGCUUCGAGGCAAAAGACAGCGAGUAUUUUUUGCUCAAGGGAAAGUUAAACCAUGCUUUUUUUCAGUGCAGGGAAAUGGUUGCGCCCCUUCCUCCAAAUCUCGCGGGGGAUAAAUAAGGUGCUCUCGCUAUCCAGACCUCCGCCACUGUCCCCUACCCCACCCCCACUCGGGCGCUGGGUGUGGACAGGGCGGAGGAAGGCUAUAUGGGAGCUUAAGGCAUGAGGUCAUGGGCGGAGGAGGCUGCUGCCAAAGCGGCCGAGGUUUUUGUGUAUUUUGAGGGGUAACGGUUCUCCAUCUUCAGCAGCGGAGUAGAUGCCUCCAGGCAUUUUUAACACAGAGAAAAAUAUUAAUGAUCAAACAUAAAGAAGUGAAGAGAUGCUCCUUCAGGGCAAGUAUGGUUUUGAACAGAGAAACUAGAAGACAGAUAAUCCACAGAGAACUGUCCCAUCUUAAGGACAAAAGUGGAGAACCCACGUGGAGGUGUGUCCAGUCCAGAGGAGUCUUUCUUUGCAAACUCAUAGAUGCACUUUGGGGAUGUGGUCAUCAGUGCAGAAAUCAUGUAGAAGAAGAAACUGACAGACUUUUCUCCCAUACUUGACUUGUCGUAAACCCACAGUGAAAUUAAUUUUGGUUUCUAUUUAUGUGUCUUGUGGCUGCAGCCUGCGACGAUAUGAACCACUCUUAUGCUGAAUGUGUACUUGUGCCUGAGUGAAGUUUCUAUAUGAAUUCAAUAAUUGUUCAGUUCUUCACUUCGCUUCGUCAACAGUGUUCACUGCACACCUGCUGUGCUCUGUAACGGAGGUACUCGGGGGAUGUGCAGAGACACUUGCAUCCUCCCUGGCCCUCUGGCUGAGCUCUGGCAGAUGCCAAGCUGGUUUAUCACCCAAGGCUGGGCCCAUGUGUCCCUUCUAGGGCCACUCAGCCCAGGAAUUUUUUCCUUCCAAAUUUCUUUCCAACUGUACAUUUAGUUCUUUGUAAAUGUUUCCUGAAUACCUGUCUUAUUACUAAAUAUUUUUCCAGUGUAUAUUCUCUCUUACACAUGAAAUCAUAAACCUCUUAAAGGUGAAUACAUAUUCAUAUUACUUCUUAGCAUCUUACUUCUUAGCAUCGCCAUCCCAAUCACAGAGCCUAACACGAUUUGAUAUGUGUUUAUUUUACUUUAAAGCAUAAUUUGUCUUUAUUAUAUAAUUACACUUGUUCAUAAUGAAAAUGUUCAUUAUGUAAAUUUAGAUAAUCUAGACAAGCAAAAAGAAGACUUUUAAGUUGCCCAAAGUUCUACCGUUCAAGAAUAAGUAUUGUUAACAUCGUGCAUGGGGUAUACACCAAACAGGAUAUAUAUUUACCCCAAGGAAGCUAAAAUUUUAAUGGAAUGAAUUGAAAUAUACACAACCACAAACAAGAAGGGGUGAGAUGAUGGAGUUAGGUUUCUUGAGAAGCCAGGAAGAUGAUGUGGUUUCUUGUGGCCCAGGGCAGGCAGCAUAAGUGUGCUUGUAGAGACUUGGCGAAGCGGGCCAUCCAGAAAAUAGUUCUCCCAUCAGCUCUUGGCGUCAUUAUCACAGGAAUAAAGACUGUCCUUCCACAGCAGCAUUGAAUGACAGGCAGAAGUGUGGUUCCCAAACCAGCAACAUCAGUGUCACCUGGGAACUUUUCAGAACUGCAUCUUCUCAGGUCCCAUCCUAGAUCCACUGAAUCAGAAACACUGGGGGUGGCCCAACAGGCUGUUUUAAGAAGCCGUCCAAGCGAUGCUGAUGCACAAUAAAGUCUGAGAAGCACUGUCUAAAAACUGGGAUUGUAUCUUGUUCAUUGUUGAGUUCUCUGUCUCAGCACCUGCUGCCUAGAAGAAUUUGUUAAAUCAAGAAGACAAGCACCAGGGCCAGUCCCAUGGCCUAGUGGUUGAAUUUGGUGCAGUCUGUUUCAGUGGCCUGGGUUCACAUGUUCACAUCCCGGGCAUGGACCUACACCACUCGUCAGCCAUGCUAUGGCGGUGACCCACAUACAAAAUAGAGGAAGACCGGCACAGAUGUUGGCUCAGGGCUAAUCUUCCUCAGGGAAAAAGAGGAAGAUUGGCCACAGAUGUUAGCUCAAGGUGAAUCUUCCUCACACACACACAAAGAAUACAAAUACCCCUGAGAGAUGCAUCGAUUUUUUAAAUUAUUUUUAUUAUGGUAUAUUGCUCAUAGAAAUAUGUAAAAGAUAAAUGAACCCCUAGUAUAUCCAGCCCUCUCUAUAGUUUGCCACGUUUCCUUCAGAUAUUUUUUUAAGAGAACAAAAACAUUGCAGAUACAACUGAGAACUUUCUGUGCAUCCUCUUCCUGAGCUCAUUCUCCUUUCUCCUUU
ensembl:lncRNA